CAGUCGCCACGGUAAUACAGAGGGUGCAAGCGUUAAUCGGAAUUACUGGGCGUAAAGCGCGCGUAGGUGGUUUGUUAAGUUGGAUGUGAAAGCCCCGGGCUCAACCUGGGAACUGCAUCCAAAACUGGCAAGCUAGAGUACGGUAGAGGGUGGUGGAAUUUCCUAUGUAGCGGUGAAAUGCGUAGAUAUAGGAAGGAACACCAGUGGCGAAGGCGACCACCUGGACUGAUACUGACACUGAGGUGCGAAAGCGUGGGGAGCAAACAGGAUUAGAUACCCCCGUAGUCCCUGUCUCUUAUAC
rnacentral:rRNA from 1 species